rnacentral:rRNA from 1 species
GGGUUGUGAGGUUAAGCGACUAAGCGUACACGGUGGAUGCCCUGGCAGUCAGAGGCGAUGAAGGACGUGCUAAUCUGCGAUAAGCGCCGGUAAGGUGAUAUGAACCGUUAUAACCGGCGAUUUCCGAAUGGGGAAACCCAGUGUGUUUCGACACACUAUCAUUAACUGAAUCCAUAGGUUAAUGAGGCGAACCGGGGGAACUGAAACAUCUAAGUACCCCGAGGAAAAGAAAUCAACCGAGAUUCCCCCAGUAGCGGCGAGCGAACGGGGAGGAGCCCAGAGCCUGAAUCAGCAUAUGUGUUAGUGGAAGCGUCUGGAAAGGCGCGCGAUACAGGGUGACAGCCCCGUACACAAAAGCGCAUGUGCUGUGAGCUCGAUGAGUAGGGCGGGACACGUGGUAUCCUGUCUGAAUAUGGGGGGACCAUCCUCCAAGGCUAAAUACUCCUGACUGACCGAUAGUGAACCAGUACCGUGAGGGAAAGGCGAAAAGAACCCCGGCGAGGGGAGUGAAAAAGAACCUGAAACCGUGUACGUACAAGCAGUGGGAGCACCCUUUGGGGUGUGACUGCGUACCUUUUGUAUAAUGGGUCAGCGACUUAUAUUCUGUAGCAAGGUUAACCGAAUAGGGGAGCCGGAGGGAAACCGAGUCUUAACCGGGCGUUAAGUUGCAGGGUAUAGACCCGAAACC